GGCUGUAUGCAAAGAAGCUGGAGGCAUCCUGCCUCCUGACCUGUGACUCACAUGGGAUGCUGCAGGACCUCAUUCCUAACAUCUCACAGGAAGAGAUCAGCUGAGAAUGGUACAUUCAGGCAGGAGACAUUCUUGGGUUUUCCAGUGUAAAAGACAUUUAAAAACAAUUGACUAAUGAGAGGAAUGUGUAGCAAAUGUUGAAGCUGCCAGUAUUCUUGCAAGUGAGCCAAUGACCUUUUAAGCUACAUCUACAACUGACUAGUUUCUUGGCCAUCAUCCCAAUGAAGGCUCCUUUCCCAGUUUAGACUGUAUUGAGAUCUGGCUUGGCAGUAAGACUUUUAGCAUCCUCAGAUACAGAUUUAUUUCAGCAUGAAAUCACAUUAAAUCAGCUUUCUAAUAAAGGCCUCAAAAAACAAAAAACAUUGCUGGGUGUGGUGGCUCAUGCCUGUAAUCCCGACAUUUUGGGAGGCCGAGGCAGGUAGAUCACCUGAGGUCAGGAGUUCCAGACCAACCUAAAACCCCACCUGACUAUGAAAUUUAGAAUUUUUUUUCUUUCCCAAAGAACAACUUUCUCACCACUCUUGUUAUACAUACUAUUCCAAAAAUAAGUGUAACAAGAAACAGACAAAUACAGGACAGUUCAGGAAACCAGUGAGUUUGAAAAAUAUAUAUAUAUUUUCCCUCUAAAGAAUGUGUGUGGCCAGGAGUGGUGGCUCAUGCCUGUAAU
rnacentral:lncRNA from 10 species